CUAAUGUGUUAAAGUUCAUUGGAACAGAAAGAGAUAGAUUUAUCUGCUGUUCGCGUUGAAGAAGUACAAAAUGUCCUUAAUGCUAUGCAGAAAAUCUUAGAGUGUCCCAUCUGGUAAGUCACCAGAAGAGGGUAUUAAUUUGGGAUUCCUAUAUGAUUAUCUCCUAUGCAAAUGAACAGAAUUGACCUUACAUAGUAGGGAGGAAAAGACAUGUCUAGUAAGAUUAGGCUAUUGUAAUUGCUGAUUUUCUUAACUGAAGAACUUUAAAAAUAUAGAAAAUGACUCCUUGUUCUCCAUCCGCUCUGCCUCUCCCACUUCUCUCCUCUUCAACACAAAUCCUGUGGUCCCUGAAAGACAGGGACCCUGUCUUGAUUGGUUCUGCACUGGGGCAGGAAUCUAGUUUAGAUUAACUGGCAUUUUGGUUUUUCUUCUAGCUCUAAAACCAGCUCCAUCACUUGAAAUGGCAAAAUAAAUCAUGAAUUAGGCCGGGGGCUGUGGCUCACACCUGUAAUCCCAGCACUUUGGGGGGCCAAGGCAGGCAGAUCAUGAGGUCAGGAGAUCGAGACCAUCCUGGCUAACAUGGUGUAAGGGAGGAGACCACCCCUCAUAUUGUCUUAUGCCCAAUUUCUGCCUCCAAAGAAAGAAAAAGUAAAAACUAAAGGACAGAAAUGACAUCCACAAGCAGACACCCCGGGUGCCACACCCUGGGCCUGGUAGUUAAAAAUCAACCCCUGACCUGAUUGGUAUGUUAUCUAUAGAUUACAGACAUUGUAUAGAAAAGCACUGUGAAAAUCCCUUUCCUGUUUUGUUCUGAUCUAAUUACUGGUGCAUGCAGCCCCCAGUCACGUACCUCCGGCUUGCUCAAUUGAUCACGACCCUCUCACAUGCACCCCCUUAGAGUUGUAAGCCCUUAAAAGGGACAGGAAUUGCUCACUCAGGGAGCUCAGCUCUUGAGACCGGAGUCUUGCCGAUGCCCCCGGCCUAAUAAACCCCUUCCUUCUUUAACUCAGUGUCUGAGGAGUUUUUUCUGCAGCUCGAUUUCUUGGUUCCCUGACCAGGAAGCGAGGUGAAUGGCAGAUGGUCAAGGCAGCUCCUUAAGUGGCUUAAGCCUGCCCUGCAGGGGACUCCAACCAGCCCAAGCAACACGGAUCCUGAGGGCGCUCCCAGUUAGGCAUUUGCCCCAUUGGGACACCUCGCCAGAGCAGUGUGUGGCAGGCCCCCAUGGAGGAUCAAUGCAGUGGCUGAACACCGGGAAGGAAUGGGCACUUGGAGUCUGGACAUCUAAAACUUGCUGGACUGUACUGCCGUGAUCUCGGCUCGCUGCAACCUCCCUGCCUCGGGCUCCUGUGAUUCUCCUGCCUCGGCCUGCCGAGUGCCUGGGAUUGCAGGCGCGCGCCGCCACGCCUGAAUGGUUUUUGUAUUUUUGGUGGAGACGGGGUUUCGCCGUGUUGACCGGGCUGGUCUCCAGCUCCUGGCCUCUAGUGAUCUGCCCGCCUCAGCCUCCCGAGGUGCUGGGAUUGCAGACGGAGUCUCGCUAACUCAACGCUCAGUGGUGCUCAGGCUGGAGUGCAGUGGUGUGAUCUCGGCUCACUGCAACCUCCACCUACCAGACUCUUAAAGUGCUAAGAUUACAGCCUCUGCCCCGCCGCCACCCCGUCUAGGAAGUGAGGAGCGUCUCUGCCUGGCCGCCCAUCGUCUGGGAUAUGAGGAGCCCCUCUGCCCGGCCGCCCUAUCUGGGAAGUGAGGAGCGCCUCUGCCCGGCCGCCCAUCGUCUGGGAGGUGAGGAGCGCCUCUGCCCGGCUGCCACCCCGUCUGGGAGGAAGUGAGGAGCGCCUCUGCCCGGCUGCCCCGUCUGGGAGAUGAGGAGCACCUCUGCCCGGCUGCCACCCCGUCUGGGAGGAAGUGAGGAGCGCCUCUGCCCGGCUGCCCCGUCUGGGAGAUGAGGAGCACCUCUGCCCGGCCGCCCCGUCUGGGAGGUGAGGAGCGCCUCUGCCCGGCCGCCACCCCGUCUGGGAGGAAGUGAGGAGCGCCUCUGCCCGGCCGCCCCGUCUGGGAAGUGAGGAGCGCCUCUGCCUGGCCUCCACCCCGUCUGGGAGGAAGUGAGGAGCGCCUCUGCCCGGUUGCCCCGUCUGGGAAGUGAGGAGCGCCUCUGCCUGGCCGCCACCCCGUCUGGGAAGUGAGGAGCGCCUCUGCCCGGCUGCCACCCCAUGUGGGAAGUGAGGAGCGCCUCUGCCCAGCCACCCCUUCUGGGAGGUGAGGAGCGCCUCUGCCCGGCCGCCCCGCCUGGGAGGUGAGGAGCGCCUCUGCCCGGCCGCCCCGCCUGGGAGGUGAGGAGCGCCUCUGCCUGGCCACCACCCCGUCUGGGAGGAAGUGAGGAGCACCUCUGCCCAGCUGCCCCAUCUGGGAAGUGAGGAGCGCCUCUGCCCGGCUGCCACCCCCUAUGGGAAGUGAUGAGCGCCUCUGCCCGGCCGCCCACUCUGGGAAGUGAGGAGCGCCUCUGCCCGGCCGCCCACUCUGGGAGGUGAGGAGUGCCUCUGCCCGGCCGCCCCGUCAGGGAGGUGAGGAGCGCCUCUGCCUGGCCGCCACCCCAUCUGGGAGGAAGUGAGGAGCAUCUCUGCCCAGCUGCCCCAUCUGGGAAGUGAGGAGCGCCUCUGCCCGGCUGCCACCCCCUAUGGGAAGUGAGGAGCGCCUCUGCCCGGCCGCCCACUCUGGGAGGUGAGGAGUGCCUCUGCCCGGCCGCCCCGUCUGGGAGGUGAGGAGCGCCUCUGCCUGGCCGCCACCCCGUCUGGGAGGAAGUGAGGAGCGCCUCUGCCCGGCCGCCCACUCUGGGAAGUGAGGAGCGCCUCUGCCCGGCCGCCCACUCUGGGAAGUGAGGAGCGCCUCUGCCCGGCCGCCCACUCUGGGAGGUGAGGAGCACCUCUGCCUGGCCACUCCGUCUGGGAAGGGAGGAGCGCCUCUGCCUGGCCGCCCCGUCUGGGAGGUGAGGAGCACCUCUGCCCGGCCGCCACCCCGUCUGGGAGGAAGUGAGGAGCACCUCUGCCCGGCCGCCCCGUCUGGGAAGUGAGGAGCGCCUCUGCCUGGCCGCCACCCCGUCUGGGAGGAAGUGAGGAGCGCCUCUGCCCGGCUGCCCCAUCUGGGAAGUGAGGAGCGCCUCUGCCCGGCCGCCACCCCAUAUGGGAAGUGAGGAGCGCCUCUGCCUGACCACUCCGUCUGGGAGGUGAGGAGCGCCUCUGCCCGGCCGCCCCGUCUGGGAUGUGAGGAGUGCCUCUGCCCGGCCGUCACCCCGUCUGGGAGGAAGUGUGGAGCACCUCUGCCCGGCUGCCCCGUCUGGGAGAUGAGGAGCACCUCUGCCCGGCCGCCCCGUCUGGGAGAUGAGGAGCACCUCUGCCCGGCCGCCCCGUCUGGGAGAUGAGGAACACCUCUGCCCGGCUGCCCCGUCUGGGAGGUGAGGAGUGCCUCUGCCCGGCUGCCACCCCGUCUGGGAGGAAGUGAGGAGCACCUCUGCCCGGCCGCCCCCUCUGGGAAGUGAGGAGCGCCUCUGCCUGGCCGCCACCCCGUCUGGGAGGAAGUGGGGAGCGCCUCUGCCUGGCUGCCCCAUCUGGGAAGGGAGGAGCGCCUCUGCCCAGCCGCCACACCGUCUGGGAAGUGAGGAGCGCCUCUGCCCGGCCGCCCCCUCUGGGAGGUGAGGAGCGCCUCUGCCCGGCCGCCCCCUCUGGGAGGUGAGGAGCGCCUCUGCCCGGCCGCCCCGUCUGGGAGGUGAGGAGCACCUCUGCCCGGUUGCCACCCGGUCUGGGAGGAAGUGAGGAGCGCCUCUGCCCGGGCGGCCCCGUCUGGGAAGUGAGGAGCACCUCUGCCCGGGCAGCCCCUUCUGGGAAGCGAGGAGCGCCUCUGCCCGGGCGGCCCCUUCUGGGAAGCGAGGAGCGCCUCUGCCCGGGCGGCCCCGUCGGGGAAGUGAGGAGCGCCUCUGCCCGGCCGCCCCGUCUGGGAUGUGAGGAGCGCCUCUACCCGGCUGCCCAUCGUCUGGGAUGUGAGGAGAGCCUCUGCCCGGCCGCCCCGUCUGGGAGGAGAGGAGCGCCUCUGCCCGGGCGGCCCCGUCUGGGAAGCGAGGAGCGCCUCUGCCCGGCCGCCCUGUCUGGGGCGUGAGGAGCGCCUCUGCCUGGCUGCCCUGUCUGGGAGGUGUACCCAACAGCUCCAAAGAGACAGCGACCAUCGGGAGCGGGCCAUGAGGACGAUGGCGGUUUUGUUGAAGAGAAGGGGAGGAAGUGUGGGGAAAGGAAGGAGAGAUCAGAUUGUUGCUGUGUCUGUGUAGAAUGGGGUGGGCAUAGGAGACUCCAGUUUGUUCUGACUAGGAGAAAUUCUUCUGCCUUGGGGUGCUGUUGAUCUAUGGCCUUUCCCCCAGCCCCAUGCUCUCUGAAACAUAUGCUGUGUCAACUUAGGGUUAAAUGGAUUAAGGGCGGUGCAAGAUGUGCUUUGUUAAACAGAUGCUUGAAGGCAGCAUGCCCUUUAAGAGUCAUCACCACUCCCUAAUCUCAAGUACCCAGGGGCACAAACACUGCAGAAGGCCGCAGGGACCUCUGCCUAGGAAAACCAGAGACCUUUGUUCAUGUGUUUAUCUCCUGACCUUCUCUCCACUAUUAUCCUAUGACCCUCCCAUAUCCCCCUCUCCGAGAAACACCCAAGAACGAUCAAUAAAUACUUCAUAAAUUUAAAAAAAAAAAAAAAAAAAAAAGAGUAUUAUCUAUUUAAAAAAUAAAAAAAAUAAAAAAAAAAUAAAACUCUUAUAAUUAAGAGUUAUAAUAGUAAUAGGAACCUACUUGCUGCUCCCUCGUUUGCUACCCGUACUUCUUCAAAUGAUAAAAAGCUUCAUCGCUACCUUAGUAUACCAAAAUGCUUCAGCACAAGUGUACUAUAUAAAUCACUAUUGAUCUGUCUUGCAAGAAGACAUGGGUAGUAAAAAUGAAAGUGAGAACUCCCACUAUUGAGUGAGAGUCUCAAAGUGGGGGAAUAAGGGAGGAGACCACCCCUCAUAUUGUCUUAUGCCCAAUUUCUGCCUCCAAAGAAAGAAAAAGUAAAAACUAAAAGGCAGAAAUGAAAUCCACAAGCAGACAGCCCGGAUGCCACACCCUGGGCCUGGUAGUUAAAAAUCAAUCCCGGACCUAAUCGGUUAUGUUAUCUAUAGAUUACAGACAUUGUAUAGAAAAGCAUUGUGAAAAUCCCUUUCCUGUUUUGUUCCAAUCUAAUUACCAGUGCGUGCAGCCCCCAGUCACGUACCUCCUGCUUGCUCAAUCGAUCACGACCCUCUCACGCACACCCCCUUAGAGUUGUGAGCCCUUAAAAGGGACAGGAAUUGCUCACUUGGGGCUCGGCUCUUGAGACAGGAGUCUUGCUGAUGCCCCCGGCCUAAUAAACCCCUUCCUUCUUUAA